GACGAACGCUGGCGGCGUGCUUAACACAUGCAAGUCGAACGGAAGGGCCCUGCGUUUGCGGGGUUGUCGAUAGGCGAACGGGUGAGUAACACGUGUGUAUCCUGCCCUUGUAUUUGUGAUAACUUCACGAAACACGGGCUAAUACCGGAUAGGAGCUCCUGCUGCGUGGUGGGGGUUGGAAAAUUUCGGUGGUUCGGGAUGGUCUGGAGGCUUAUCCGCUUCUUGGUGUGGUAGUGGAUGCCCAAGGCUUUGACGGGUAGGCGGCCUGGGAGGGGGACCGGCGACAUUGGGACUGAGAGACGGCCCAGACUGCUACGGGCGGCAGCAGUGGGGAAUAUGGCAGAACGGGCGGAAGCCUGAGGCAGCAGCGCCGCGUGCGGGAUGACGGCCUACGGGUUGUAAACCGCUUUGGACGGUGACGAAGCGUGAGUGACGGUAAUGGGUAAAGAAGCACCGGCUAACUACGUG
rnacentral:rRNA from 1 species